rnacentral:lncRNA from 1 species
CGCUAGGACCGCUCACGGCCGCCCGAACGUCGGGCGCCGCGACUGCCACGAUUGUGCGGGGCGUCAAGUUUGGGUUGUGCUCAGCCAUGUUUUUCCGGGACAGUCUCCUGUCCCGGAGUACCACCUGUCAUCUUUGUGGGUGGUACUGACCCUAACCCAAGGAAUAUUAGAGGACAUUCCCCGGUCAACAUGGUUGUGUUUUCCUAUCACUCUAAGAGUUAGGCUCAAGGACACCAGACGGAGUUGGAAAGGUCUCAAUGACUCGCCCUCGGCCCUGCCCCUCUGUCCCCGCCCGCCGUGGUCCCGCC